CCUACGGGGGACAGCAGUGAGGAAUAUUGGUCAAUGGACGCGAGUCUGAACCAGCCAAGUAGCGUGAAGGAUGACUGCCCUAUGGGUUGUAAACUUCUUUUAUAUGGGAAUAAAAUGUUCCACGUGUGGGAUUUUGUAUGUACCAUAUGAAUAAGGAUCGGCUAACUCCGUGCCAGCAGCCGCGGUAAUACGGAGGAUCCGAGCGUUAUCCGGAUUUAUUGGGUUUAAGGGGAGCGUAGGUGGAUUGUUAAGUCAGUUGUGAAAGUUUGCGGCUCAACCGUAAAAUUGCAGUUGAAACUGGCAGUCUUGAGUACAGUAGAGGUGGGCGGAAUUCGUGGUGUAGCGGUGAAAUGCUUAGAUAUCACGAAGAACUCCGAUUGCGAAGGCAGUUCACUGGACUGCAACUGACACUGAGGCUCGAAAGUGUGGGUAUCAAACAGGAUUAGAUACCCGAGUAGUC
rnacentral:rRNA from 1 species